ensembl:lncRNA
UCCUCCCCCGUGAGACCAAUCGGCUGGGGAUUGUGGGUGNNNNNNNNNNNNNNNNNNNNNNNNNCCAAAAUUGGACUUUUUUGACCCAAAAUUGAACUUUUUGGUCCCAAAACUGGUGGUUUUUGGGCCUAAAUUUGGACUUUUUGGGCCUAAAAUUGGACUUUUUCGUCCCAAAAUUGGACUUUUUAGCCCCAAAAUUGGCCAUUUCAGCCCCAAAUUUCGCCAUUUUGGGCCCAGAAUUCCACAUUUUUUACCCCAAAGUGAGACUUUUUAGCCUCAAAAUUGGACAUUUUUGACCCAAAAUUGGACUUUUUUGACCCAAAACGUUCCUUUUUAGCCCCAAAAUCUGCUAUUUUGGCUCAUUUUUGACCCAAAAAGGGACUUUUUAGCCCCAAAAUUGGACAUUUUUGGCUCCAAAUCCAACAUUUUUGGCCCAAAUUUGGACUUUUUUGACCCAAAAUCGGCGUUUUUAGCCCCAAAAUGGUGCUUUGAAGUGGGAUUGAAAUAAAGGCUGUAAUAAAUGGGCGGAUUUUGGGCUGAAUUCGGCGGAUUUUGGUUAAUAAUGGCGGCUCGUGGGCGGGAUUUGGGGUCGGAUCUCGCGAGAUUUGGGGCUCGGUUGAAAACGGGGCGAAUUUGGGUCAUUUUGGGUCGAUUUGGGGCUUUUUGGUUAUUUCGCCUUCUCAUUGGGCGAGCCGCGCGUCCAUCACUCUGAGCCCCGCCUCUUCCUCCCCGUGAACCAAUCGCGGAUUGUGGGUGGGUUCAUUGCCGUGCUCUGAGCGCUCCCAUUGGCUGAGCGCUCUUCUGCCGCGCUCCUAUUGGCUGAGAAGCCGGUUUCCGGUUCCGGUGGGAGUCAGGAGCAAGAUGGCGGCUGUCGGGGAGGCCGUGACGCUGUUGAAGGAGCUUCGAGAGGAGGGCAUUUCGUUGCUGGGGGUGCGGGCGGCCGCCAUCUUGAAUUACGUCACCGACCUCGGCCUCGUGCUGAGAGCCAAGAGCGGGGGGAGGAGCUUGAGGGAAGAGCCCGCGUUGCCACGGAUACUGGAGAGCCGCGUGGUGAUUGGACGACGGGCGGGCAGGGGGCGGGACUUCAGGGGGAGGCGCGCUGUGAUUGGGCGAGGGAAAGGGGAAGGGGCGGGGCUUGCUGUGAUUGACGUGGCUUAAAGAGGAGUCGCAUGAUUGGACGGGGGGCGGGAGUUAAGGGGGAGGCGCGCUGUGAUUGGAUGGGGGAGAUAAAGGAGGGCGGGACUUAAGGGGGAGGCGCGCUGCGAUUGGACGAAGGGAAGGGAGGGGGCGGGGCUUGCUGUGAUUGACGUGGCUUAAGGGGAAGCCGCGUGGUGAUUGGGAGGGGGCGGGACUUAAGGGGGAGGCGCGUUGUGAUUGGCUGAAGGAUAAGUAGGGGGCGGGGCUUGCUGUGAUUGACAUUGCUAAAGGAGGAGCCGUGUGCUGAUUGGACGGGGAGAUAAAGGAGGGCGGGGAUUAAGGGGGGCGAGCUGUGAUUGGGUGAGGGGGUGGGAGUGGGCGGGGCUUGGUGUGAUUGACGUAGGGGGUGGGAGGUGGGCGGGGCUUAAGGGGGAGCCGCGUGGUGAUUGGAUGAGGGGGGUGUGACUGGGGAGGGGCCUAGUGUGAUUGACAGCAACACAGCGAGCUGCGUUGUGAUUGGAUGAGGGGCUGGGAGGGGGGCGGGGCUUGAUUUGAUUGACAUAGCUCUAUUGGUUUCUAUUGGGGGAGGUAGGGGGGGACCUAAUUAGCAUACAUUUGCAUAAGGUGCUGGAGAAGCUCCGCCCCCUGGAGCAGCGAAUCCGGUACCAGGUGGACAAACUGAUCCGGGCCGAUGGAACGACGGGUUUGAGCCAAAAUCCGACUUUUUAGCCCCAAAAUGCCCCUUUCUGACCCCAAAAACCCCCUUUUUCACCCCAAAAUGGCCAUUUCUGACCCCAAAAACCCCUUUUUAGCCCCAAAAUGGCCAUUUCUGACC